AUUGAACGCUGGCGGCAGGCCUAACACAUGCAAGUCGAGCGCGAAAGGCCUUCGGGCUGAGUAGAGCGGCGGACGGGUGAGUAACGCGGAGGAACCUACCUGGUAGCGGGGGACAACAUGGUGAAAACCAUGCUAAUACCGCAUACGCCCUAUGGGGGAAAGCGGGGGAGCUUCGGGCCUCGCGCUAUCAGAUGAGCCGGCGUAGGAUUAGCUUGUUGGUGAGGUAAAGGCUCACCAAGGCGACGAUCCUUAGCUGGUCUGAGAGGAUGAUCAGCCACACUGGAACUGAGACACGGUCCAGACUCCUACGGGAGGCAGCAGUGGGGAAAUUGCGCAAUGGGCGAAAGCCUGACGCAGCCAUGCCGCGUGUGUGAAGAAGGCCUUCGGGUUGUAAAGCACUUUCAAUUGGGAAGAAAGGUUGCGUGUUAAUAGCACGUAGCUGUGACGUUACCUUUAGAAGAAGCACCGGCUAACUCCGUGCCAGCCGCCGCAGUAACAC
rnacentral:rRNA from 1 species